rnacentral:rRNA from 1 species
AUAGGGGAGCCGGAGGGAAACCGAGUCUUAACCGGGCGUUAAGUUGCAGGGUAUAGACCCGAAACCCGGUGAUCUAGCCAUGGGCAGGUUGAAGGUUGGGUAACACUAACUGGAGGACCGAACCGACUAAUGUUGAAAAAUUAGCGGAUGACCUGUGGCUGGGGGUGAAAGGCCAAUCAAACCGGGAGAUAGCUGGUUCUCCCCGAAAGCUAUUUAGGUAGCGCCUCGUGAACUCAUCUCCGGGGGUAGAGCACUGUUUCGGCUAGGGGGCCAUCCCGGCUUACCAACCCGAUGCAAACUGCGAAUACCGGAGAAUGUUAUCACGGGAGACACACGGCGGGUGCUAACGUCCGUCGUGAAGAGGGAAACAACCCAGACCGCCAGCUAAGGUCCCAAAGUCAUGGUUAAGUGGGAAACGAUGUGGGAAGGCCCAGACAGCCAGGAUGUUGGCUUAGAAGCAGCCAUCAUUUAAAGAAAGCGUAAUAGCUCACUGGUCGAGUCGGCCUGCGCGGAAGAUGUAACGGGGCUAAACCAUGCACCGAAGCUGCGGCAGCGAACGUAUCACCCAAGACAACUUUGCGGAGUUGACGAUUGACGGAGCGAAGCGACGUCAAAGCGUUCAUUAAAGUCGAGUUGGCUUAGGGAUACGUUCGUUGGGUAGGGGAGCGUUCUGUAAGCCAGUGAAGGUGUGUCGUGAGGCAUGCUGGAGGUAUCAGAAGUGCGAAUGCUGACAUAAGUAACGAUAAAGCGGGUGAAAAGCCCGCUCGCCGGAAGACCAAGGGUUCCUGUCCAACGUUAAUCGGGGCAGGGUGAGUCGACCCCUAAGGCGAGGCCGAAAGGCGUAGUCGAUGGGAAACGGGUUAAUAUUCCCGUACUUGGUGUUACUGCGAAGGGGGGACGGAGAAGGCUAUGUUGGCCGGGCGACGGUUGUCCCGGUUUAAGCGUGUAGGUGUGUGUUCCAGGUAAAUCCGGUU